CGUAACAUGAGAUUUUUUAAUUUAUUUGCUCUAACGUACAAACAUGCUCAAUAAUCAAUUACAAAGACAACUGAUUUCUUGUACUAAAAAUUUGAAAAAAAAAAAUAUGUAUCAAAAAAGUUAGAAAAGAUCAACAAAUUGAAUUAGAAAUACAAAUAUUAGUGCAUGUUUGGCUGAGCUUAGAAAGCAGCUUAUUAGCUGCUUAACUUUGCUUAACAUCAUCAUAUGCUUAUUUUAUCUUAGUCCAAAGAAGCAGCUUAGAGCUACUUUAAAGCUUAGCCAAACAUGCCCUAAGAGUUCAUCAGUUGUCGUGUUGAGUUGUGUUCGGCAGUCUCCACUGUAAAGCAACAGAAAAUGGAUUGAACAAUGAAAUCAAACACCAUUCUCUUCACCAGCCUCCUCUUUGCCGGAAAAACAGUUUCUUUCUUGGGCUUGAACGCUGGCUGCGCCGCCACUUCCGCCACCGCAGACCUUGCCUUUUUCUCUGUUGCAACCGCAACCACAAUCACCACCUCUUCGGCCACCAUCACUGCUUCUUCACUCUUUUUUCUUCACUACUAACCUUUAUGCAUAAUUGACCAUAUAAAUUCAUGAUCUAAAGUAGCUUAAUGAGGAAGGAACUUCUUGAAGGGUAGAGUGAUGUGUGGCGUUGGACAGAAUCUAGAAUAUUUGGAUCCGUUUGGAUUUCGUAUGUUGUAAAUGACAGUUGUAAAACACAAGCCAAG
rnacentral:lncRNA from 1 species